CAUCGUUUCCCCUCCCCACUAUCAAAAUCCUCCUCUCCCAUGCCUUAUAUAAUCCAAAGACAUGGUCGCCGAUCGACACAGGGGGGCCAGCUCGGAUCAGUGUCUUGCUAUGUGGACUCCAGCGUCAUCUGAUUUUCAUCAAGAAAUCUGCAUAUGGUUGUGUUCUUGCAUGUCCGUGUUGUUUAUUUCCUGCUUACAUCUGAUGAGAAGUGGAAAAUGGAGUUAAUCCUCCUCUCCCACGCCUUAUAUAAUCCAUCGACAUGGUCGCCAAUCUACACAUGGGGCCUCAGCUCGGACCCACUUCUUUGUAUGUGACUCCAGCGUCAUCUGAUUUUGAUCAAGAAAUCUUCAUAUGGCUGUGUUCUUUCAUGUCUUGGUUGUUUAUUUCCUUAGAUGUGACGAGGAGUGGAAAAUGGAGUUAAUGUGAUUAAAGAACAAUGGAGUUAAUGUGAUUUCCUUAUUGUAUUGCUGAGUACUACUAUAUAUAAGCAAUGCUGUUUUAUAAUCAGCGGUUAUGAUA